rnacentral:rRNA from 1 species
AUGAACGCUGGCGGCGUGCUUAACACAUGCAAGUCGAACGAUUAAGACGGCUUCGGCCGUGUAUAGAGUGGCGAACGGGUGAGUAACACGUGACCAACCUGCCCCGCGCUCCGGGACAACCGCUGGAAACGGCGGCUAAUACCGGAUGCUCCGGGGAGGCCCCAUGGCCUCCCCGGGAAAGCCCCGACGGCGCGGGAUGGGGUCGCGGCCCAUUAGGUAGACGGCGGGGUAACGGCCCACCGUGCCCGCGAUGGGUAGCCGGACUGAGAGGUCGACCGGCCACAUUGGGACUGAGAUACGGCCCAGACUCCUACGGGAGGCAGCAGUGGGGAAUUUUGCGCAAUGGGGGAAACCCUGACGCAGCAACGCCGCGUGCGGGACGAAGGCCUUCGGGUUGUAAACCGCUUUCAGCAGGGAAGACAUAGACGGUACCUGCAGAAGAAGCUCCGGCUAACUACGUGCCAGCAGCCGCGGUAAUACGUAGGGGGCGAGCGUUAUCCGGAUUCAUUGGGCGUAAAGCGCGCGUAGGCGGCCGCCUAAGCGGAACCUCUAAUCCCGGGGCUCAACCUCGGGCCGGGUUCCGGACUGGGCGGCUCGAGUGCGGUAGAGGCAGGCGGAAUUCCCGGUGUAGCGGUGGAAUGCGCAGAUAUCGGGAAGAACACCGAUGGCGAAGGCAGCCUGCUGGGCCGCCACUGACGCUGAGGCGCGAAAGCUGGGGGAGCGAACAGGAUUAGAUACCCUGGUAGUCCACACCGUAAACGAUGGAUACUAGGUGUAGGGGAUGAAUAAUCUUCUGUGCCGUCGCAAACGCAGUAAGUAUCCCACCUGGGGAGUACGGCCGCAAGGUUGAAACUCAAAGGAAUUGACGGGGGCCCGCACAAGCAGUGGAGUAUGUGGUUUAAUUCGACGCAACGCGAAGAACCUUACCAGGGCUUGACAUAUGCAUGAAAAUCUAAGAGAUUAGAUCCCUCUUCGGAGCAUGUAUACAGGUGGUGCAUGGUUGUCGUCAGCUCGUGUCGUGAGAUGUUGGGUUAAGUCCCGCAACGAGCGCAACCCCCGUCCCGUGUUGCCAGCAUUGAGUUGGGGACUCGCGGGAGACUGCCGGCGUCAAGCCGGAGGAAGGUGGGGACGACGUCAAGUCAUCAUGCCCCUUAUGCCCUGGGCUGCACACGUGCUACAAUGGCCGGUACAGAGGGUUGCCACCCCGCGAGGGGGAGCGGAUCCCGGAAAGCCGGUCCCAGUUCGGAUCGCAGGCUGCAACCCGCCUGCGUGAAGUCGGAGUUGCUAGUAAUCGCGGAUCAGCAUGCCGCGGUGAAUACGUUCCCGGGCCUUGUACACACCGCCCGUCACACCACCCGAGUCGUCUGCACCCGAAGCCGCCGGCCGAACCCUUCUGGGGCGGAGGCGUCGAAGGUGUGGAGGGUAAGGGGGGUG